rnacentral:rRNA from 1 species
AGUGAACGCUGGCGGCAGGCCUAACACAUGCAAGUCGAACGGCAGCACAAGAGAGCUUGCUCUCUGGGUGGCGAGUGGCGGACGGGUGAGGAAUGCAUCGGAAUCUGCCCAUUUGUGGGGGAUAACCUCGGGAAACCGGGACUAAUACCGCAUACGACCUACGGGUGAAAGCGGGGGAUCUUCGGACCUUGCGCAGAUGGAUGAGCCGAUGCCGGAUUAGCUAGUUGGAGGGGUAAAGGCCCACCAAGGCGACGAUCCGUAGCUGGUCUGAGAGGAUGAUCAGCCACACUGGGACUGAGACACGGCCCAGACUCCUACGGGAGGCAGCAGUGGGGAAUAUUGGACAAUGGGCGCAAGCCUGAUCCAGCCAUGCCGCGUGUGUGAAGAAGGCCUUCGGGUUGUAAAGCACUUUUGUUGGGAAAGAAAAGCAGCCGGUUAAUACCCGGUUGUCAUGACGGUACCCAAAGAAUAAGCACCGGCUAACUUCGUG